AUGCAGCCCACCCCUUUUCCUAGAAGAGUUUUCGCACCAUGGUUAGUAGGGACGUAUGUAUGUGAUUACUUGCAGCCUUUUGAAAUUGUGGAGGUUUUAAAAAGAUCGCGGUAUCGAGUUGUUAUUCGUGGAAACUACAACCGAGGUCUCUACAACUUUGGAACCAGAAACAAAAACUUAAUCAAAUUUUGCAGCAUGAAAAUAUCCAAAACAGGGCAACGUUCAAAGCACAGGACUAUGCAUUUACAUCCAAAUCAGUACUAA